CGCUGCGCUCACGCAAGGCAACAUUGUGUCCCGGCAUUCCCGCCCCCUUCGUGCGGAGUAGACGUGUGUGGUAUGCAAGUGCGAGAGCAGGACGCACGCAGAAAGUGUUCGUGCGUAGUUUGCGCGCUACAGGUUUCAUCGUGUUUGUUGUACGGUGUUCUGACAUACGUACACAUAGAGUGUUCGCCGCAUUACGUGGCCCGAUAAACGCAAGCUUCGUUCCCUGGGACUAGAUGAGGCGUACAUCAUUGCGCUCGCUUGCGCCUGCAGGCGAAUGCCUUGUUCCAUUUACAUCGAAAGGAAAGCCGCAAUGGGAAGAGAUUCGAUAAGAGUUGGAAAUUCGCUGCCAAGUUUUACGCCGUUUCGGGUUAGAUCGGAGCACUACACCAGAAAAGCAAAGCAGUAGGUGUACCUGCCGUGACGUCAUGACGCACAAGGUGGUGACGGGGGACGAAGAGGACACCGCGAUGUUUUGGCACUCGCUCCGGAUACCACGCUCUGUGCAUAUACGCCACUAAUUCGACUUUGCUGACCGUGGCUGCUGCUGCUGUCUUUCGGAAUGGCGCACACGCUGUACAACGCCCAUAAAACUAACUGGUGUAUAUAAAGAGCCAUGUGUAUAUUAACCCUACCGAUUAGCCGACUGCUGGGUCUUUCUCUGGAACAACGCAAUGAAAAAGAGAAAGCUACC